rnacentral:rRNA from 1 species
UUCUGUAGCAAGGUUAACCGAAUAGGGGAGCCGAAGGGAAACCGAGUCUUAACUGGGCGUUAAGUUGCAGGGUAUAGACCCGAAACCCGGUGAUCUAGCCAUGGGCAGGUUGAAGGUUGGGUAACACUAACUGGAGGACCGAACCGACUAAUGUUGAAAAAUUAGCGGAUGACUUGUGGCUGGGGGUGAAAGGCCAAUCAAACCGGGAGAUAGCUGGUUCUCCCCGAAAGCUAUUUAGGUAGCGCCUCGUGAAUUCAUCUCCGGGGGUAGAGCACUGUUUCGGCAAGGGGGUCAUCCCGACUUACCAACCCGAUGCAAACUGCGAAUACCGGAGAAUGUUAUCACGGGAGACACACGGCGGGUGCUAACGUCCGUCGUGAAGAGGGAAACAACCCAGACCGCCAGCUAAGGUCCCAAAGUCAUGGUUAAGUGGGAAACGAUGUGGGAAGGCCCAGACAGCCAGGAUGUUGGCUUAGAAGCAGCCAUCAUUUAAAGAAAGCGUAAUAGCUCACUGGUCGAGUCGGCCUGCGCGGAAGAUGUAACGGGGCUAAACCAUG